ACACACACAAGUACGUAUACACCAGUUACCAGUUAUAGUAAUACAAGUCUUUAGCAAAUAACAAACUUGCUUGACAACGGAUAGCUGAUAUUGUUUACUUCCGCGGUUCUAUGCAGCGAUCUGAACACGAGACACAUAUCACGCGUUCAUCUACACCGGUGGUACGACUCAAUAGCAGUAGGGAGAAACAGAAGACGCGUGAAGAUGGGCGUGGUGGACUCCGUAAAGGGUUUCCUGUAUUUCUGGUACCUUCAAUAUACGCUCAACACCAGUAUCUACAUGUUAGAACCAUUGGAACAAGUCUUAUUCAAUGCGUUUUUAGUGUGUUUUCUGGCCAUCAGUGUGUACACAUUCUAUAUAUUUGUCCCAAUCCACGUUGUCCAAAUUUAUGAACUUGUACUUGGAUUGAGAAAUGUUUCGGAAGCGACAUGAAACGGGACAGAACUCGCUGAUGAAACGCUUCUUGCUUGUGGACACGAGUGAUCAUCAUAUUAGUGUGCAGUACGAUGGAGGAUAUCGCUUCGUAUUCUAUAUUGACUGUGUUCAGGAUGCACACCAUCUGUAUACGACAAGAUCCGACAUUCCUCCACACAAUAACUCCAGUACAUGUGUAAUAUAUUAAUUGUAAAUUCUUAAAAAAUGUUACCUAUUCAUAACUUAUUCAUUGUUAAAGCAGAGACGCGAUACUUUAGGGUUUUUUAUUAUGGCGAAGUAAAUGAUGCAUUGCUGUUGACUGAAUGUAAUUUAUUCCGAAUGUAAUCUAAAAAAAUCUUUUAUUUGAAUGUAGUUCUUGGGAAUUGUGCAAUUUAUUAUCCACAAUGUCAAAUCGGUCAUGGUUCAAGCGAUACAUGUACAUCAGAUUCGGGAGUUUAAAGACACUCGAUACCAACAACAACAAAAUUUGAUGCAUGGGUUGAUACAGACAUUUUGGCUUCAUUUGGUUGCACAAAUAUGAAAUUCCUAAUAAUGAUGAUAAUACAUACGGUAAAUUAAAAAUUUGUAUUAAUUUUACUUAUUAUAAUAAAAAUUUAGUUAUCCUU